rnacentral:rRNA from 1 species
GACGAACGCUGGCGGCGUGCCUAAUACAUGCAAGUCGAACGCAGGGGGGACGGGAGAGGAACACGUGGGUAACCUCCCAUCAGAGGGGAUAACACUAGGAAACAGGUGCUAAAACCGAUAAUGAUGGAUGGACCCGCGGUGAAUUAGCUAGGUGGGGAGGUAACGGCUCACCAAGGCCACGAUGCAUAGCCGACGUUACCGGGUGAUCGGCCACACUGGGACUGAGCCACGGCCCAGAGUCCUACGGGAGGCAGCAGUCGGGAAUCUUCGACAAUGGACGAAAGUUUGACCGAGCCACGCCGCUUGUGUGAAGAAGGUUUUCGGUUCGUAAAACUCUGUUGUUAGAAAAGCGGUAUCUGACCAGAAAGCCACGGCUAACUACGUGCCAGCAGCCGCGGUAAUUC